UACGUAGGGGGCAAGCGUUGUCCGGAAUCAUUGGGCGUAAAGAGCGUGUAGGCGGCUCGGUAAGUCCGCUCUGAAAGCCCGGGGCUCAACCCCGGGAGGCGGGCGGAUACUGUCGGGCUAGAGUCCGGAAGAGGCGAGUGGAAUUCCUGGUGUAGCGGUGGAAUGCGCAGAUAUCAGGAGGAACACCGAUGGCGAAGGCAGCUCGCUGGGAUGGUACUGACGCUGAGGCGCGAAAGCGAGGGGAGCAAACAGG
rnacentral:rRNA from 1 species